ACUGCCCCAGAGGUGUCAGGUGUGGCUGCCAUGUCGCAUGUGCAUCAGUAGGUAGCAGAGAGGAGAAAGCCCAUGUCUAGGCUCAGUGUUCUGUGAACAUCUAAAUGAGUAGUAGUCUAAUCCU
ensembl:snoRNA LOC120100438 small nucleolar RNA SNORA17